rnacentral:rRNA from 1 species
UACGUAGGUGACAAGCGUUGUCCGGAUUUACUGGGCGUAAAGAGCGCGCAGGCGGUCGAUCAAGUCGAGUGUGAAAGCCCCCGGCUCAACUGGGGAGGGUCAUUCGAUACUGAUCGACUCGAAGGCAGGAGAGGGUAGUGGAAUUCCCGGUGUAGUGGUGAAAUGCGUAGAUAUCGGGAGGAAUACCAGUGGCGAAGGCGGCUUCCUGGCCUGUUCUUGACGCUGAGGCGCGAAAGCUAGGGUAGCAAACGGGG